AUUGAACGCUGGCGGCAGGCCUAACACAUGCAAGUCGAGCGGAGUUAGAGAAGCUUGCUUCUCUAACUUAGCGGCGGACGGGUGAGUAACACGUGGGCAAUCUGCCCGUAAGACUGGGAUAACUCCGGGAAACCGGGGCUAAUACCGGAUAAUCCUGACUCUCUCCUGAGAGUCAGUUGAAAGAUGGUUUCGGCUAUCACUUACGGAUGAGCCCGCGGCGCAUUAGCUAGUUGGUAGGGUAAUGGCCUACCAAGGCGACGAUGCGUAGCCGACCUGAGAGGGUGAUCGGCCACACUGGGACUGAGACACGGCCCAGACUCCUACGGGAGGCAGCAGUAGGGAAUCUUCCGCAAUGGACGAAAGUCUGACGGAGCAACGCCGCGUGAGUGAAGAAGGUUUUCGGAUCGUAAAACUCUGUUGUUAGGGAAGAACACGUACGAGAGUAACUGCUCGUACCUUGACGGUACCUAACCAGAAAGCCACGGCUAACUACGUG
rnacentral:rRNA from 1 species